GUUCUCUUUUGCUGUUUCAUCUUUUGCUGUGUAGAAGCUGUUCAGUCAGCCCUCAGUUCUUCUUCAGGAGGAAUUGUACUAUAAAUAAGUAUAAUUUGUUGUGUCCUGUGGAGAAGCUGUGAUGUCAGAUGUCUGGAGCCCAAGCAUCCAUCUUGGACCUUGAAGAGAAGCUUGGGUAGGGGUGGAAAAGGAGCAAGGUUCUUGAGUGUGGAAGCAAAAAUUGCACUGGACGAAGUUAAAGAGAUAUUCCUCCUAAUUUCUUGUGGACUUGGUUUUUCAAAUCCCUGUCAAAUAUUAAGCUUCUGUGGAGCAUCGCUGUGUUGCUGGUGACUAAUGUGGCUCCAGAAGAUAGUACUUGAUGGUGAUACCUGCAACGACACUUUCAUAAUUGUUCAUUCUUAGAUAUGUAAGUAUAUUUUUAAAGUAUUGGCAUAGUUAUCUUGCCUGAGUGUUUCUGGAUCCUGGAUGCCUGGACACCACAAACACCAUUAGAAACCCUCUUCUCUUUCCCUCUUGACUCUGAAAAGAAAGCAGUGCUGGCCUGUAAGAAGGAUAUGGCUGUGCCAAUUAUCAUUUCUCCAGGCACUGAGGUGUUAAGACGUGUUCUCAUUUUGUGCCCUGCAGCUACACCUCCUGAGACCCACUGAGGGAAAUUCUAUUUCUCCUUCCUCUGUAUAAUUGGACUCCAUCUCCUGGAGAUCCAUCCAUAGAGUGUCAGCGUACUCUUCUGCACUUUAGGUGUGUGACACAUUCAUCUGCAAUGGUCAGAAACUAUUCCCUUAUCUCUCUUAUCCUUUCUUUUCCACUGGGGUCCUUUGACAAGGCAAUAAUAAUACUUGUACAUGAUCCAUCUCUGUAAGUCUGUUCCACCUUGAAAAGGUGUUAUGGUCUGAUUUGUGUCCUCCUCAAAUUCAUAUAUUGCAGUCCUGACCCCUAGCACCUCAGGAUGUAACCAUAUUUGAAAGUAAGGUCUUUCAAGAGGUGAAUAGCUUACAAUGAGGUCUUGACAGUGAGUCAUAAUCCAACAUGACUGGAGUCCUUAUAAGAAGAAGAAAUUUGGACAUGCUGAGAGAUACAGAAGCACACAUGCACAGAGAGACAACCAAGGGAAUAUACAAAAAUACAGCCAUCUAUAACCAGCGAAAGAGGCCUCAGAAGAAAUCAAACCUGCUGAUAACUUGAUCUUUGACUCCUAGUCUCCAGAAC